AGGUAAAGCACGAAGUGAGGGUUAAAGUCUCUGGGAGAGAGUAAGUGGGACCAAGACAACACCAUGAAGAGAAAACAGGAGCUGACCACAACCUACCCUCAAAGUGAGCAGGAGGCAGUGGGAUGAGCCCAAAUAAGUCUGCAGGGGCCCAAAUCACCUAUGCAUGUCCUGCCCUCUACAGAGAUGUGAGGCAGCCAGGCAAG